rfam:Pteropus alecto contig107648, whole genome shotgun sequence.
UUGCUUGGCUAAGAAGAGGGGCUGUUUUAUCAUGAUGUUUAUUUUAUUAUUAUUAAACC